UUUGAAAAACAUAUUAAUAAUUAAAAAUUCUUACCUUUUGCAUAAUGGUUUAAUUAAUAUAUUUUAAAAAUUUAUUUUCCCGAAAUAAAAUGAUCUAGUAAUAAUAACCCAAAAAUGUUUUACAAUUUUUAUUUUAAUUGUUGCUAGGUGUGAAAGGCUUUACAACUUUUAUUAUAUCUGGAUUAAGUUUAAAUGUAUUUAGUACAGAUUUAUUAUUUAUGUAGUUUUUGUUAAGGAAAACUAUAUUAAGAAUUUUUUAUAAAAUUUAAAAUUUUAGAUAAGUCUGUUAAUUAUUUUUAAAUAAAAUUUUUUAAAAAUAAUUCUUUUUAAUAAACUUAUUAAUAAAUUAAUUUUUUAUUAUUUAAAUUCUGUUAAAAUAAGUAUUUUAAUAUUUUUUAUUUAAGGAACUCGGCAAAAAUUUUAUUCAACUGUUUAUCAAAAACAUAGUUAUAUGAAAUUAUAUGUAAUGAAACCUGCCCAUUGAUUUUUUUUAACGGCCGCAGUACUUUAACUGUGCUAAGGUAGCAUAAUAAUUUGGCUUUUAAUUGAAGUCUGGAAUAAAAGGAUUCAUGGGUAAAAACUGUCUUAUUUAAAUUUCAAAAAAAUUACUUAAAAGGUGAAAAUACCUUUAAUUUAUUAUUAGACGAGAAGACCCUAGGAGUUUUAAUUUUGUUGGGGCGACAUAUUAGGAAAAAGAUCUUAAUUAUUUUAUAUAAAACGAUUAUAGUAAUUUUAAUUAAACUACCCUAGGGAUAACAGCAUAAUUUACUUCAAGCUUGUGACCUCGAUGUUGGACUAGGA
rnacentral:rRNA from 1 species